rnacentral:rRNA from 1 species
AUUGAACGCUGGCGGCAUGCUUUACACAUGCAAGUCGAACGGCAGCACGGGGGCAACCCUGGUGGCGAGUGGCGAACGGGUGAGUAAUGCAUCGGAACGUGCCUAGUAGUGGGGGAUAACGCGUCGAAAGAUGUGCUAAUACCGCAUACGCACUAUGGUGGAAAGCGGGGGACCGCAAGGCCUCGCGCGAUUAGAGCGGCCGAUGCCCGAUUAGCUAGUUGGUGGGGUAAGGGCCUACCAAGGCGACGAUCGGUAGCUGGUCUGAGAGGAUGAUCAGCCACACGGGGACUGAGACACGGGCCAGAAUCCUACGGGAGGCAGCAGUGGGGAAUUUUGGACAAUGGGCGCAAGCCUGCUCCAGCCAUGCCGCGUGAGUGAAGAAGGCCUUCGGGUUGUAAAGCUCUUUCGGCCGGAACGAAAUCGUCCAGGCUAAUACGUUGGAUGGAUGACGGUACUGGAAGAAGAAGCACCGGCUAACUACGUGCCAGCAGCCGCCGUAAAAC